GCUGCCGCCGGACGGGGCGGGUCAUGAGGGUUGGGGAACCCGGUGAGGGGCCUGCUUGCGAGAGCCGCCAGGGUCUAAGGGAGCCCUGGUGGGUCGUUUCGGCGAAGGGG
rnacentral:ncRNA from 1 species